GAUGCAAGGGCAGGGGCGCUUUAAGGAGGUGGGGGAUGAGGGUGCUAAGGGGAUAACCUUCUUCUUUCUUAGGGGAGUAAAGCUACCCUCUCAAAAGACGACAGGCACAGGAAGGGGUUAACGUGGAGAACGAGGAGAACGAGGAGGAGCUAGACGCAGGAGGAGAAAGGACCGUAUAAAAACCCGAACAAGGACGGAACGAGGAGAAGCGAAGUCCACGAGUUAAACGAGCCGAAGUCGGACAGCGUAAUUAGACAAGGUAGGAGAUCACUUUUGGAGGGCUCGUGGGCAACGCCGAGGACUUCCGUCGCAGGGCCGUGCCGUGGACUUUAAGAUGUCGGCGAGUGAGCGGUCAGGCUGCUGCUAAUUUCUGCCAGUUUCGGCAGUGGCGGAGCGACGUAGGGUUUAUGGUCCAGAAGGGAGCGAGCGAUAUCAGUUCGGAGGCGUCGGAAGCGGAAUUCUAGUGAUCCGCGUUGUAUUCUUUCUUGUGUACUGUUUAGAGUAAAUUAAUAAAGUCCAAUUGUCUUGUUAA